ACUGGUUCCGAGCAGCAUUUUGCAAAACUUGAGAUGAACACGCUCUAGUGGGUCUGCACUCGCAUCAUUUUUGUUAUCUGCGCCCCAUAUUUCACUGCCGUAAAGCAGAAUUGGUUUAUUAAUAAAAUGAGGGACAAAAA